rnacentral:rRNA from 1 species
UUGGAAUUUAACAAAACCCCGGCACGGCAUGUGCCAAGGAAAACAAUAAACGAGAAGGACUCGACCUGUUAUGCCCCGUUUGUGGUGUGCAUUCUGAGCGUGUCCUCCUUUGAAUCAGCCCCACAUCAUACUUC